GACGAAGGGGGCUAGCGUUGUUCGGAAUUACUGGGCGUAAAGCGAGUGUAGGUGGUUGUCAUAGUCAGGUGUGAAAGCCUUGAGCUCAACUCAAGAAAUGCACUUGAUACUGGGCGACUAGAGGACCGGAGAGGAUAGUGGAAUUCCUGGUGUAGCGGUGAAAUGCGCAGAUAUCAGGAGGAACACCGGUGGCGAAGGCGGGUCUCUGGGCCAAUACUGACGCUGAGGAGCGAAAGCGUGGGGAGCGAACAGG
rnacentral:rRNA from 1 species